CAUGCAUUUUCUAUGCAAUCCCUUUCUGAAGUUUGUGACUUAUUAGUUAUCAUUGGUUACCAGGUCACUUUUGAAAGAUCGUAACAGAUGAUCCGUUGUAUAUGUAUGCCUCUCCUGUGUGGUACAUAUAUCCACUAUUCCAUUGAAAGAUUCACAUUGAAUUGGUCUACUAGAUACAUUAUAUUACUCCCUCUGAUCCAUAUUAAUUGUCUCAAAUUUGUCCAAACAUGGAUGUAUCUAUGCGUAAAAAACGUUUAGAUACAUGUAAUAUUUUGACAAUUAAUAUCGAUCGGAGUGAGUAGUAUUAGUUCUAUGUCGAGUUAUCUACUCGAUGACACAGAUAAUCUGGAUCAGGGUUUCUAGGCUUGCAUCAAAUAGCUGAUUAUUAUUAAGUAAUUGAUGACUUCGUUAGCUGUUGCAUGUAGAAGCCAAUUGCUGGUCGGGAGUUUCGAGGGAGGCAGAUCACAUCGAGAGGCUGAUAUGGAAGCCUGCGUUGAGAGUAAACACAAGUCUUCAUGGGCACUGGUUUGGCUUGCUUGUGUGUGUUAGUUGUUGAUUGUUGUUGUUCCAAUUUAUCUAUGCGUGUUUGUCUCAGAAAACACAAAAGAAUAUCGCCUGAUCGCUUUAAUUUUGUCAACAGCGCGGCGAAGCGCGCGUACCAAGCUA